CAGAUUUGAUUCUGGUUUCUGUUAUAGGGGCACUUUUGAUGAUACAUGCUAACCGUGUGGGCCAGUGAGGAGAGGAUGAAUAUAUGGCGUAAUUAGAAAUAACAUAUGUAUAAAGUAUUAGGGUGAACCUAUGCUUAGGCUUAUUCCACUCUACAAGGUAAAUAGCAGUACUUAAUUUUAAGCAGAUGCGAAAGCAUGCGUUAGCUAAAAGUAAUUAUAUGUGGCCAAGCUUGUGCCAGCCGCCGCGGUUAUACCUUAACAUUAAUUUAUAACAAUCGUCAGUGUAAUUAUUAUAUUGUAUUUAAGAAGUAGAUAAAAGAUACGGUUGCAUGAACUUUUUAGAAAAUUCUUAAGUGAAUAAUUACAAGGUGAAAGGUAGAAACCAGGAUUAGAUACCCUGUUAUUCUUCCAUAGUAAACAUAGGUUAGUAUAAACAGUGUUUGAAAACCAAAGAUUUUGGCAGUGACUAAGGUCUAUUCAGAGGAGUUUGUUUUGCUUUACCGAUAUUCCGCGAGGAUCUUACUUUGCUUUGUUUCCAGCCUAUAUACCGCCGUCGUCAGUUAAUGUUGUGAGGGUAUGUAAAUUAACAAGAAGAAGGUAUAUUCUUAACGUCAGGUCCGGGUGUAGCCAAUAGCAAAGGGUGAGAUGAAUUACAUUUAUUUUAAAAUACCGGCGAUACUUUUGAAUAAUGGUUAUUAAAGUUGGAUUUGGUAGUAAUUAGGUAAUAACAUGAUUAUUUGACUAUAGCUCUUAGUUAUGCACACACCGCCCGUCACUUUCCUAAAUACAUAAGGGAAAGAAGUCGUAACAAGGUAGGGUAUCCGGAAGGAUCCCCUGGAUAAUUG
rnacentral:ncRNA from 1 species